rnacentral:rRNA from 1 species
AGAGUUUGAUCCUGGCUCAGGAUGAACGCUAGCGGCAGGCCUAAUACAUGCAAGUCGAACGGGGGGUAACCUUAGUGGCGGACGGGUGCGUAACGCGUACGAACUUACCUAUAAAUGGGGGAUACCAGCUGGAAACGGCUGUUAAUACCGCAUGUGGCGCGUGAGCGUUAAAGCAGUAAUGCGUUUAUAGAUGGGCGUGCGUCGGAUUAGUUAGUUGGUAGGGUAAUGGCCUACCAAGACAAUGAUCCGUAACUGGUCUGAGAGGAUGAUCAGUCACACUGGCACUGAGACACGGGCCAGACUCCUACGGGAGGCAGCAGUAGGGAAUAUUGGGCAAUGGGGGCAACCCUGACCCAGCCAUGCCGCGUGGAGGAUGAAGGUGUAUAACAUUGUAAACUUCUUUUAUCUGGGACUAAUGCGCAUGUAACUCAUGUGAGUGAAGGUACCAGGGGAAUAAGCACCGGCUAACUACGUGCCAGCAGCCGCGGUAAUACGUAGGGUGCAAGCGUUGUCCGGAUUUACUGGGUCUAAAGGGUGCGUAGGCGGUUGUUUACGUCGGUGAUGAAAUGGCGGGGCUUAACCUCAGCCGCUGUUACCGAUACGGGGCGACUAGAGGAUGAAUGAGGUAGCUGGAAUGAGUGGUGUAGCGGUGAAAUGCGUAGAGAUCACUCAGAACACCGAUUGCGUAGGCAGGUUACUGGUUCAUAUCUGACGCUGAGGCACGAAGGCAUGGGGAUCAAACAGGAUUAGAUACCCUGGUAGUCCAUGCAGUAAACGAUGGAUACUCGCUAUUGGGCGCAAGUUCAGUGGCUAAGCGAAAGUGAUAAGUAUCCCACCUGGGGAGUACGCCCGCAAGGGUGAAACUCAAAGAAAUUGACGGGGGCCCGCACAAGCGGUGGAGUAUGUGGUUUAAUUCGAUGGUACGCGAGGAACCUUACCUGGACUAGAAUGCGCGUGACCGGCUCUGAGAGGGGUUUUUCUAGCAAUAGACACAAAGCAAGGUGCUGCAUGGCUGUCGUCAGCUCGUGCCGUGAGGUGUUGGGUUAAGUCCCGCAACGAGCGCAACCCCCGUUUUUAGUUGCCAGCACGUAAUGGUGGGGACUCUAAAAAGACUGCCUUCGUAAGGGGUGAGGAAGGGGGGGACGACGUCAAGUCAUCAUGGCCCUUACGUCCAGGGCUACACACGUACUACAAUGGUCGGUACAACGGGUUGCUACUGCGCGAGCAGAUGCCAAUCUCUAAAAGCCGAUCUCAGUUCGGAUUGGAGUCUGCAACUCGACUCCAUGAAGUUGGAAUCGCUAGUAAUCGCGUAUCAGCCAUGACGCGGUGAAUACGUUCCCGGGCCUUGUACACACCGCCCGUCAAGCCACGAAAGCUGGGGGUGCCUGAAGUCGGGGGAUCAAAUCCCUGCCGAGGGCAAAAUCGGUAAUUGGGGCUAAGUCGUAACAAGGUAACC